AAUGCCUUCUUAUGUAUUGUACAAUAAGAGAUGAGGUGUAAAGGUGUUUCGUGUUCAACAGAAGUACCGUCUAAUUAUUAUUGAGUGAGUGCUCAAAGAAGGUGAAAAGCCUGUGUGGCAGUACUAGCCUGUUGGACCGUGACACUGACGAGUCUAGUUGUUUGAGAGUACAACUUAAAGCUGGUGGUAAAUUUCAUCAAAGGCUAAAUAUACGAGGGGACUAAUAGCGAACAAGUACCAUGAGGGAAAGUUGAAAAGAACUCUGACGAGAGAGUCCAAUAGUACGUGAAACCAUAUUGAGUAAAACAGAUAACUGUGCUGUUAUGUGGUGUGCCUAUCAACAGUUUACUUGGUGUUGUCAUGCCAUGAGUGUAGGUUGUCUAUUCAACUGAUUGCUCUCGGCUAGCAUAACCAGAGAUUCUGUGCACUAGUGCGCACUCGAUCAUUGAGAAACUAUGCUGCUGCGGCAUCGGUGUGUAACAGUCCGUACCUGGUGCGCAGUUACAUACUGGGUGUAGCUAGUAGGCGUCGUUUAGCUGUGUGACAGCUGCGGGUUGCGUUUACGAAAGGUUUCUGCUGUAUCUGCGAAUUGGUUUAUUCCUUUUUGCGGUGAGUAUGUUACCGUAUGUAAGCAGCUCGCCAUCAAUGGUUAGCAUUAGUUAUUUGACCCGUCUUGAAACACGGACCAAGGAGUUCAAAUGGCACGCGAGUCAUUGGGUUUGACCACCCGAAGGCGAAGUGAAAUGCAAACGUAUUGUUAUUUGUGGUUGUUCCAUAAUUAAGCGAUAAGCUACUCAUGCUUCUGGCAUUUGUAGACUACAAGCGU
rnacentral:rRNA from 1 species